AACGAACGCUGGCGGUGCGUCUUAAGCAUGCAAGUCGAACGGCAAGAAAGUGCUUGCACUUUCCUAGAGUGGCGGACUGGUGAGUAACGCGUGGGUGAUCUACCUUUAAGAUGGGGAUAGCUUUUAGAAAUAAGAGAUAAUACCGAAUGUGCUUACGGUGUUUUGACAUUGUAAGGAAAGGAGCGUUUGCUCGCUUAAAGAUGAGCCUGCGUCCCAUUAGCUAGUUGGUGAGGUAAAGGCCCACCAAGGCUAUGAUGGGUAUCCGACCUGAGAGGGUGAUCGGACACAUUGGGACUGAGAUACGGCCCAAACUCCUACGGGAGGCAGCAGCUGAGAAUCUUCCGCAAUGGACGAAAGUCUGACGGAGCGACACCGCGUGAAUGAUGAAGGCCGAAAGGUUGUAAAAUUCUUUUGCAGACAAAGAAUAAGUGCAGGAGGAAAUGCCUGCAUGAUGACGGUAGUUAUGCGAAUAAGCCCCGGCUAAUUACGUGC
rnacentral:rRNA from 1 species